CCGCCCUCCGCUCCGCCCCACCCUGCUCCCAGUGCUCCUCCGGGAUUGCUCCGCCCUGAGCUCCGCUCGGCCGCGACCCGGCUCCCCGAACCUGUGCUGUCCGCUUUGGGGACUGUGGGCUCGAACCCCGGCGGGCAGAUGCAGGGUGCAUUGGUCGACCCUGCCCUCGCCGCAGUCACGCGGCAGGUCAGCGGUCGCACCGCCCCAGCCACAGUCCCGAGCGGCCCAGAGCGCGGGCAGCCCCUGGCCGCAGCGGUGGCCGAGCUGCCCGUGCUGGACGCCUCCGGGAGGCAGGUGCCUUUCGGCGCGCUGUUUCGGGAGCGUCGGGCUGUCGUAGUCUUCGUGAGGCAUUUCCUGUGUUACAUUUGCAAGGAAUACGUAGAAGAUCUGGCCAAAAUCCCCAAGAGUUUUUUACAGGAAGCAGAUGUCACUCUAAUAGUGAUUGGACAGUCAUCCUAUCAUCAUAUCGAGCCUUUCUGCAAACUGACUGGGUAUUCUCAUGAAAUCUAUGUUGACCCUGAGAGAGAAAUUUAUAAAAAAUUGGGAAUGAAAAGAGGUGAAGAAAUUGCCUCCUCAGGAAACAGCCCCCACAUAAAAUCGAAUAUACUCUCAGGAAGCAUUCGGAGUCUGUGGAGAGCAGUGACUGGCCCUCUCUUUGAUUUUCAAGGAGACCCUGCUCAGCAGGGUGGAACCCUCAUCUUAGGUCCAGGUAACAACAUCCAUUUUAUACACCGUGAUAAAAAUAGAUUGGAUCACAAACCCAUCAACUCUCUUUUACAGCUUGUAGGAGUUCGGCACGUGGACUUUACAAGCAGACCUUCGGUUAUCCAUGUGUGAUGGUAUAGACUGUGGACCCUUGGAAUAUGACCUGAAAUGUUCAGAGUAUGGUAUUCUUGUGCAAUGUCUAGCUUUUUGGCUUUUCCCAGCCUUUGAGGAGUUAUGAAAACACGAAGAGACUUUAUACCAGUUAUUUUGUGCUAGGAGGCAUCAGUUGUCAAAAACGUGAUACAUAUUUAUAAUUCUGUAGCUUUUAAAAUUUUAUGUAAAAUUAAAGUUUGUUUAUAUAAAACUUUAAAAGCUAUAAAAUUAGAAAUACUAUUCUUUAUUUUACAUUAUGGUAUAUCCAUUAAAUGAAAGUUUCUGUUGGCCAUUAAAAUAAUAAAUUCUUUGAAGAACAUAUAAAUGGAAAGGUAAGCAACUCACCACCAUUUUAUCCAGUGAAAAAAGCAGGAUAUCAAAUUCUAUAAAUAAUAUAAUCUUUUUUAAAAAUUAACAUAUAAUGUAUUAUUAGCUCCAGGGGUACAGUCUGUGAAUAUAAUCAUUUUUAUAUGUUUAUAUUUUUGUAUGCUUAGGAAAAAAGAGAAACACGCCAGAAUAUUGCCAGGAGGUACCUCUGUGUGGUAGGAUUACAGCUGAACUUUUAAUAAAAAAGUGAGGAAAUGACCAGAGCCAAAAGAAGUAGAAACAAUGCUGAUGACCAUGCCCUGAAGCUGUGGCCUGCUCUGUGGUUUGUGCUCAUCCCAGGAAUGUUCCUUGGCCAACUGAAAGGCCUCCUGCAGUAGAGGGUUAAAACUAAGACCACCGCAUAAAGUAUGGCCUGUGACCUAUGCCUGCAACUUGAGACUUCCUGGAGCUUCUAAGAGCUACAGCAGCACCGCAGUCAGAUCCAUCCAUAGACCAAGGAGCCCAGUGAGGAAGUGGUGUAAGACUUCUACAAUGAAUCAGAGGCAACAAAAAUUUUAAUAAAAUGAAAGUGCAUAUUUAAUUUAAAAAGUAAAUAUUUUUGUUUUUCAAAAAGAUUGAUGAUAAGCUAGUAAUCUGCAUAAAAUUUUUAUUUAUAUUACCAUCUACCACUGGGGCCAGAGUGACAACAUGGACCAUGUGAAACUGAGGGACAAACUUCCUAAAGAAGCAGUAUCAUCUACUCUGAAGAAACUAUUUUUUUUAAAGUGUUCCAGAAAAUAAUUAAAGAUGUGCAGUUGCAGAAGGUAUAUUUACAUAUCAUUCUGUGAAAAAUUAGUUUUAGUUUAUUUAAAUAGCCUCCAUGCCCAACAUGGGGCUUGAACUCAUGACCCUGAGAUCAAGAGUCACAUGCUCUACUGACUGAGCCAGACAGGCACCCCUAGGUUUCAUUUAGAACAGACUUCUUUUGGGGCACCUGGGUGGCUCAGUGGGUUAAAGCCUCUGCCUUCAGCUCAGGUCAUGGUCUCAGGGUCCUGGGAUCGAGCCCCACAUCGAGCCCCACAUCAGGCUCUCUGCUCGGCAGGGAACCUGCUUCCUCCUCUUACUCUCUGCCUGCCUCUCUGACUACUUGUGAUCUCUCUGUCAAAUAAAUAAAAUCUUAAAAAAAAAAAAAACAGUUCUUUUAAAUUAAUUUUGUUCAUUUUCAGUUCCAAGUUGUCUUGUACCCAUAUAAAAAGUGGAGUGGCAGCUAUUUAUACGCUGGCUCUGUUAGCAGAAAACUUUGAAAAUAGGUACAAGAUGCCAGUUUUAUAUCUGUAUUAUAUAAAUUUGAAUGAUUACCUAUUGUAUAAAAAUAAUGUCCAUACUAAAAUAAGAAACCUAUAGAGCAUUCUUGGAAUUUGUUGUGUAUACAUAUAAUGUAUAAUUGUGUCCAAGCUGUCAGUCAAAAUAGAUACUAUAAUUGUUAAAAUUUAACACAUUUUUUUUUAAUUUUCUUUUUUUAUUUGACAGAGAGAGAUCACAAGUAAGCAGAGAGGCAGGCAGAGAGAGAGAGAGAGAGGGAAGCAGGCUCCCUGCUGAGCAGAGAGCCCGAUGCGGGACUCGAUCCCAGGACCCUGAGAUCAUGACCUGAGCCGCCGAAGGUAGCGGCUUAACCCACUGAGCCACCCAGGUGCCCCAAAAUUUAACACAUUUUUUAAAACAUUUUUUAUUGUGGUAAAAUACACAUUACAAAAAUUUACCAUUUUAACCAUUUUUAAGUGUACAGUUCAGUGACAUUAAGUAUAUUCAUAGUAUUAUGCAACCAUCAUCACUAUUCAUCUCCAGAAUUUUAUCAUUAUGUCUUACUGUACCCAUUAAAUAAUACCUAUCAUGGCAAUUGCUGUUCUAACUUUCUGCCUCUAUAAACUUGAUGACUCUAGGAACCUCAUGUAAGUGCAGUCAUAUAAUAUUUAUCUGUUUGUAUCUGUGUGAUUUCACUUAGAAUGAAGUCCUCAAGGUUCAUCUGUGUUGUAUUAUGUACCAAAAUUUCAUUCCUUUUUAAGGCUAAAUUAUAUUCCAUUGUACGUAUAUAUAUUUUAUUUAUCCAUUCAUCCCUCAAUGGACAUUGAGAUUAUUUCUACCUUUGGGCUACUGUGAAUAAUGUUACUGUCAACUUUGGUGUACAUGUAUCUGUUUGAUUCCCUGCCUUCAGUUCUUUUGUGUAUAUACCCAGAAGUGGAACUGCUGGGAUAAUAGCGACAUUCCGUGUUUAAGGAACCACCAGACUGUUUCCCAGAGCAGCUGCAUCAUUUUAUGUCCUACCAGCCGUGUACAAGGGUUCCAAUUUCUCUAUAUUCUCACCAACUUAUUUCUAUUUUUUUAGAUGUUUAUUUGUUUAAGAAAUCUCUACAUCCAACCUGGGGCUCAUACUCACAAUCUGGAGAUCAAAGAGUUGUAUGCUUAACUGAGCCAGCCAGGUACCUGUAUUAUUAUUACCUUUUUUUAAAUAAUGGCCAUUCUAAUGGGUGUGAAGUGAUAUCUUACUGUAGUUUUGAUAAAAUUUAUCAAUUUUUAAGCAUGUAUACACAAUAACCAAAGGAAAAAAAAUCUAUGAGCAGUUGAUGUGGAGUAAUAAUUUUUUUAAAGUAAGCUCCAUGCCCAGUGUGGAGCCCCAUGCAGGGCUUAAUCUCACAACCCUGAGAUUGAGACCUGAGCCAAAUCCAAGAGUCAGACACUUAACCAGCUGAGCCGCCCAGGCACCCCAAAAGUAUCCUCCAUCUAACAAAAUUUUUCCUAAGUUUAACAAGUACCUCAGUACCUGAAGAGACACAACAUUCUCCAUUGAAAUGUGGACUAUGGGGUGCCUGGGUGGCUCAGUUGUUAAGCGUCUGCCUUCAGCUCAGGUCAUAAUCCUGGGGUCCUGGGAUCGAGUCCCGCAUGGGGCUCCCUACUCAGCCGGAAGCCUGCUUGUCCCUCUCCUGCUCCCCUUGCUUGUGUCUCCUCUCUCGCUGUAUCUCUCUGUGUCAAAUAAAUAAAAUCUUUAAAUAAAAUGUGGACUACAGAGAAAAAUCAAA